rnacentral:rRNA from 1 species
UACGAAGGGGGCUAGCGUUGCUCGGAAUGACUGGGCGUAAAGGGCGCGUAGGCGGUUUGGACAGUUAGGCGUGAAAUUCCUGGGCUCAACCUGGGGGCUGCGCUUAAUACAUCCAGACUGGAGUGUGAAAGAGGGUCGUGGAAUUCCCAGUGUAGAGGUGAAAUUCGUAGAUAUUGGGAAGAACACCGGUGGCGAAGGCGGCGACCUGGUUCAUUACUGACGCUGAGGCGCGAAAGCGUGGGGAGCGAACAGG